rnacentral:rRNA from 1 species
GCACCACAAGAACGCGUGGAGCAUGUGGCUUAAUUUGACUCAACGCGGGAAAUCUUACCGGGUCCGGACACACUGAGGAUUGACAGGCAAUAUCUCAUGGUUAUUAACCCGGUUAUUACAUUUUGUUUAAUCGGUUAUUAAGCAUCGAGUGUUAAAUAUGCUAGUCCUUUCAUGAUUAUGUGAUAGGUGGUGCAUGGCCGUUCUUAGUUCGUGGAGUGAUCUGUCUGCUUAAUUGCGUUUCACUAAGGGCCCAUAAAUUCAAGGUAUGUUAGCUAUCGUCGCUCUAUGGACCCCUUAUACUCGAUUUCG